UACGUAGGGUGCGAGCGUUGUCCGGAAUUAUUGGGCGUAAAGAGCUUGUAGGCGGUUUGUCGCGUCUGCUGUGAAAAUCCGAGGCUCAACCUCGGACUUGCAGUGGGUACGGGCAGACUAGAGUUGUGGUAGGGGAGACUGGAAUUCCUGGUGUAGCGGUGGAAUGCGCAGAUAUCAGGAGGAACACCGGUGGGCGAAGG
rnacentral:rRNA from 1 species